CUUCACCCCCCCACCUCCUCUCUUUUCCCACCCCUCCUCUCUUCGCCCCUCCACCUCCUCUCUUUUCCCACCCACCUCCUCUCUUUUCCCAAUCCUCCUCUCUUCGCCCCCCCACCUCCUCUCUUUUCCCACCCCUCCUCUCUUCGCCCCCCCACCUCCUCUCCUUUCCCACCCCUCCUCUCUUCCCCCCCCCACCUCCUCUCUUCACCCCCCCACCUCCUCUCUUUUCCCACCCCUCCUCUCUUCACCCCCCCACCUCCUCUCUUUUCCCACCCCUCCUCUCUUUUCCCACCCCCCCACCUCCUCUCUUUUCCCACCCCUCCCCUCUUCACCCCCCCCACCUCCUCUCUUUUCCCACCCCUCCUCUCUUCACCCCUCCACCUCCUCUCUUUUCCCACCCACCUCCUCUCUUUUCCCAAUCCUCUUCUCACCCCCCCCCCCAUUUUUCUCUCCCUCCCCACCUCCUCUCUUCUCUCUCCCCCACAAUAACGAGAGCCACACCAGAGGCCAGAGCUGUGCUGUCGCAGCAAGCAAAGGGCAAAGGAGGCAACGAGAUGCUCUAGGGACUCUGACUCUUGCUGCCAGGCUGCAACAAGAGGAAGGCAGAUUCUGGCCCCCAACAGGUGAAAACAAGAGAGCAGCAAGGCAGGAAGCACAAAAGCAAACCUAUCUCAUGAAGGAAACAGCACAACUUCAAGCACAGUUUUAAGCACAGCAUACCAAGGAGGAACAGAAAUCCCAAGCAGAGCAAAGGGGAGGAGUGGCUUAGAGAAAAGCAAAAGCACCCCACAAAGCACACAGCCAAAACACCACCCCACAAAGGACACAGCCAACCUACCCCCGCAAAGGGGAUCAGCCAAAGGCUUCUGCCUCUCCUGGGGCAGCUUAAAAAGGGGAGGUCAAUUGAAGUCUCCUCCCACCCCAGCUGUGGCCACUUUGCCCUCCCUGCUCAGUGCCCUUUAUAAGCAGAGCAGGAGGAGCCCAGCCCCAAGCUGGGCCCAUUGCGGGCCAAGGGAUCCUCCGCCUGGCAUCCCAGGAGGUUGGAUCCUCGAAGGUUUUGCUCUGGGUUCUGCGAUGGAGGCAAAGAUGGAGCAGGAGCACUAACUGGAGCUGGUAACGGACCAGCAGCAGCAGCUGGUAAUGGAACUGGUAAUGGAGCAGAAGCUGGUAACGUAGAGUGGAGAGGAGGAGGAGGAAAGCAGCAGAGACUGCCCGGGGGAAGGCAGAGAGUGGGGGCAGGACGGCAGGGGCUGCCCGGGGAAAGGUGGAGGGCAGCGGCAGGAGGGCAGGGAAGAGGUACAGAGCUUUCAGGUGCUGAGCUUCAACAGAAAGACCUGAUGGAAAAGAAAA